CCGGGCUGCGCUAACUGCGGACACAGCCACGCCUUAAACUGACCCUCCUCGGCCGCCGUCGCCUCCACUCUGCGACUCCCUAGGAGUAAAGACGGACCAGAGGCGAGGAAAGGUUUCCAGACGGACCUGAAGAUUUGACUGGUUAACAAAGGCUUGCCCACAGUCACUGCAGCCAAAAGGAUUCUCUUGCAAUCAUGUGAUCUUGCACAUAUCAUUAGGAGUUGGCUGAGACUCAUUAAGUUCAGAAAGUUUCUCUCUAAUAGAAUUGAAUAAGUCUCUUCCAUGCUGAAAACAUUCACAAUUGCUCCCUGUAUCUUGAAUUCUCUUGUAUGCCUUAGCAUCCAAGUGUUUGAUAGAGACUUCAUCAUAUUGAGUAAAGUCACAGACUUCACAGACAUCACUGAUUUUUCUUUGUGGAUAAAUGGAAUGAGUAAAGUCCACUGUUUAGUAAAUAAUGAGAAUUUUCAUAAAUUGUGUUACAUUUGUAUCUGUCCUCCUAAUUGGGUGAUGGAACUAUACUGAUAAGGUCCUGUGUCAUUUUCUAAUUGUAUGUAUAAAGAAUGUACACUUAUGGAAACUCUA